AGACCGGUCGCCUGUUUACAAAAACAUCGCCUCUUGACUAACUAUAAGAGGUCAAGCCUGCCCAGUGACACUGUUCAACGGCCGCGGUAUCCUAACCGUGCGAAGGUAGCGUAAUCACUUGUUCUUUAAAUGAGGACUAGUAUGAACGGCUUCACGAGGGCUAUGCUGUCUCCUUUAUCCAAUCAGUUAAACUAAUCUCCCCGUGAAGAAGCGGGGAUACUUCUAUAAGACGAGAAGACCCUAUGGAGCUUUAAACAUUUUAAACACUUGAAUCUUUAUUAUUUUAACCUUCAGAAAAUUUCAUUAACCCUUUCAUUCUGUUUUAAGUUUUAGGUUGGGGUGACCACGGAGAAUAAUCUAACCUCCACGUAGAAAGAAACUUCCUUUCCAAGCAAAAAACCACAUCUUUAUGCAUCAAGAUAUUGACUUAAAUUGACCCAAUUUUUUUUGAUCAACGAACCAAGUUACCCUAGGGAUAACAGCGCAAUCCGCUUUAAGAGCUCCUAUCGACAAGCGGGCUUACGACCUCGAUGUUGGAUCAGGGCAUCCCAGUGGUGCAGCAGCUACUAAUGUGUUCGUUUGUUCAACGAUUAAAACCCUACGUGAUCUGAGUUCAGACAGGA
rnacentral:rRNA from 1 species